rnacentral:lncRNA from 10 species
AUAGCAUACAUAAAGUUCAUAACUCAACUACAAGAUGCAGGCAGAUUCAUCUCCUGUUUAAAGUAGAGAUAUCAUGGGGAAAAGUGAGAAGUGACAUGUAUAAUUAUGGUCACAUUGAGGGAGGAAGAGACACCAUCUGGAAUGCAGGCAGAAAGCCAUGUGAAGCUCCCUGUGAGGGAAGGACUGUGGAACUGUCAAUCAUGACCAUGAGCCUUAUGCCUGAACACUCUUUCAGAUCACAAGUAGUUGCCUGUUAAAGUUGGAAUAAUGUGGAGAGAGAGUACUGAGGGGAAAGAUGGACACUACCGGUUCCGUGGCCCAGGGUUUUGGAAGAGGCGGCCUCCGGAUGACUGGAUGCACUUCUCCCUGGGACUCACCGUUGCCCACUGGAAGAGUCUUUCCAUUUGCCACACUGGAUGCCACACUGGAUGGGAUAAUCUAGGAGGGAGGAACUGUGGAGAUGGUGCGCCUUGGGAUGUCCAGAAGACAGUGACCAGAAUUUCAAGAGAUGUUUUCAGAUUUCACAGUAUAAUAAGAGAAAAGGAGCCAAUCCCUUAAAUGAAGAACCUUCAAUCACUUCUCCCCAGGUGCACGUUUCAAUUUCAUUUCUUUUCAUCAACUCCUUCCCUUUGAUGAUGGGUUGCAUUGAAAACUAUUAAGAAAAGUAGGAUAUUUAAAAUGAACUGUGUUAAGAAGAGGAUCAUUUCAAAGAAUCUAUUCUGAGGAAGUGCCUUCAGCCAAUCAAAAAGCUAAAGAAACUGGAUAUAAUGUGAAUCUAGUGUAAAUUACCAUGAUGUCUCCUUCAACAUUCAUCAAGACUUCUGACUAGUCUACUUGAUCUGUGAAAAUGAGAUUACUUGAAGACCUGUCACAGAUUUUAAAGCAGAACACGAUAUAUUGAUUAUACAAAUAUUUUUAUGUCACCCUGUAUCUUAAUAAA